rnacentral:lncRNA from 1 species
CCCCCAUUUCUUUUUGUAACCCACAUCAGUUGAAAAAUAAUGUUUGUUAUAUGAUCUACCAUAGGAACAACCUUAAUGGAGAUGCAGAAUUUGGAGGCUACAUGGAAGCUAAUUCAAGCCAAACCCUCUAGGAUAUACUGCAAGUCAAUGGCUUGUUGGAAAAAGUUCGUCCCUAGAUGGUUUUUAUUGGAUAAACACCCC